rnacentral:lncRNA from 1 species
GCCUCACUUUGAGCACCAAGACGUUAGACACGAUGACACUGCGGAUUUUAAUAAGUCAGCUUGGAUUCUCAGUGGAAUAGUGGGACCUGAUGGUGCCUUUGGAAAGCAGUUUCAGAGGUAGCUGCUACCGGGGAGAGGAUGAACAUUGCAAAGUGCAUUCUCAUCUCGGGACAAGGCGGCGGAGUACGGGACCUUGAGCUCACCUCCUCUUAACCUGCGUUCUGCCACUGCUGAACCCAAGUGUGACGUCCUCCCUCCAUCCCCCGGUUCAUGGAGGUGGAGGCAGGUCCAGCUGGCAGGCCAGGUCUCCCAGGACGGACAUGGACUGGUUGGCGUGAGGCUCCAGGUUACUUCUUGAUUAAGAACGUCUAACCAUGAUCCUGGGCAGUCAUCAUCUAGUGUAUUGAGAGGUGACAAGUCUCAUCCAGCUGCAGACAUCCUGAGCUCUCUGGGGAAAUGAAGCAAAGGGCAUUGCAGAAAGAAGGAAUGCAGAAUAUUCCAUUUCCUGUUGGCUCACUACCAGGAUUCUGCAUCCUGUUCCAUUUUCAUUAAGGUUUGUUGCACAUGACCCAGUGCUUAAUUUUGUGAUGGGUGGGUGUGAAACCCAAAGUAUUUGAGGGGGAUUAGAUAUUGUUGACACUGCAUUGGGCGGGAGACUACCAAAUGCUUUCCUCCAUUCCUGUAGCUCAGUCGUUUCCCCAGGGAAAAGAGCAUUGCACGCUCUGGCCUGGAGUCCCAGCUCUGGGCAGACUCUGUGUAAGAGUUUCUCUUUACAGACUGAUCUAUGAUCCAUGACACCCUGUCUGCAGGACAGGCACAACACAGUGGCGAUACGGGACAAGAUCCGAACUUGCCCUAGGUAGAAUUACAAUUCUCCUUCCAGCCUUCCUAGCUAAUCCUCGGAUCAGAACACACUUGGAACGCUGAGAGAAAUAGGUAUAGCAAGAAACACAGUGGACCUGUUGGUUUCCAUGUCUGGAUCCAUAUGUAUGUCUAUGGAUGGAACAUUCUGGAAAAGUGACUCAACAUUUUUAUUGUCAAUUAUUAGAAGUCUAUUAUUUAACUAAAAAAAAAAAGUGCACACUUAAAACUCCUAG